UAACUAUAAGAUUCUCUAUAUUUCACUAACAAUAACAAGAUGAACAACUGAAUUGAACUACAGUGUUGCUUGUCUUAGUUGUAAAAGCUUUUUCUAGUCUUAUAGAAGCAAGGAUGUAUCGGAAUGGAUUAUUUUAUUGAAGAAAGAAAUUUCAUUACAGAGAAGAGGAAAAUAUAACUAGAGUAAGAGCAAGAUAUCAUCAAAGAAAAAACCUAGAUACAAGAAAAACGUGUAAAAGCAUAACCACUGGCUUAACACCAAAGAGGGGCCAUAAACGUUUAUAUCUAUAAUAAACUGAGUGGCAACAAGGAUAAA
rnacentral:lncRNA from 1 species